rnacentral:rRNA from 1 species
GACGAACGCUGGCGGCGUGCUUAACACAUGCAAGUCGAACGGUGAAGCUCCAGCUUGCUGGAGUGGAUCAGUGGCGAACGGGUGAGUAACACGUGAGCAACCUGCCCCUGACUCUGGAAUAAGCGCUGGAAACGGCGUCUAAUACUGGAUACGAGAAGGGUCCGCAUGGGCACUUUCUGCAAAGUUUUUCGGUUGGGGAUGGGCUCGCGGCCUAUCAGCUUGUUGGUGAGGUAAUGGCUCACCAAGGCGACGACGGGUAGCCGGCCUGAGAGGGCGACCGGCCACACUGGGACUGAGACACGGCCCAGACUCCUACGGGAGGCAGCAGUGGGGAAUAUUGCACAAUGGGCGAAAGCCUGAUGCAGCGACGCCGCGUGAGGGAUGACGGCCUUCGGGUUGUAAACCUCUUUCAGCAGGGAAGAAGCGAAAGUGACGGUACCUGCAGAAGAAGCACCGGCUAACUAC